rnacentral:lncRNA from 1 species
AGCUGCUCUGGCCCAAGCAUGAAGGGCGCGCUCCAUGGCCUUGCUGGACGGAGGCAGCCCCAGAGGGUCAGGUUCCAAGGAGCCGCCUGGGCACCCCGAGGAGUCAGCCCGUGGAAGGAGAGCUCCCCCGAGACGGACGCAUGUGCGUGCAGGGAGCCAGCCAUGUGGGGCGCUGGCCGUGCUCCCCUGGCCCCCUCAGCAGUCGUGGGCCCUGCCUGCCCCUACUGUUACCUCUGGGGAGCCCAGCAUGUAACUGACCCCGCCUGCUGGCCUGACUGGAGGGCCCCCUGGCUGGAGUUUCCCGACCCUUGCAGUUCCACCAGGGUGCCCUUUGCCAGCCAUCCUUGGAUGGGGUACCCCCCUCUGGCUGCCUCAGGGCCUUCCAUCUGGGCCUGGGGCAUCUGCAGUUUUGAGCCCCUCGUGGGGAGCCAGCCCUCAGUCCCCUGUUUUUCCAGAGUGUUUCCUUACCCUGUGGAGCCCCCACCCCCAUUCUCCUCAGUCCUUCCAGCUCCAGCUACGGGUGCCCCGGGCCCAUGCCCAGACGGGGUGUGUGGGGAGCCAGCGCUCGGCCCCCUGGACCCCCAGGGUGCUUCCUUACCCUGUGGAGCCCCCACCCCCAUACUCCUCGUCCCCUCCAGCUCUAGGUGGGGACACCCCCGAGCCCGGUGCCCAGCAGGGGUGGCAGCCUCCGCCCAGCUCAGCCCGCCUGACUGCAGUGGGGAGACCGUCCAGAGCUGCUUCCCACGUGACGAUGACACUCGAAAUCCUUCCCUCAGGAGGGGUGUCCAGGUUCAGCAUUUGGGCCCCCAAACCACCCUGCAGCCCAGAACUCUGCCCUCUGCCCCCUUCCCCCUGUGUGCACCCUCAGCCGGAACCCCACAGCCCCCGCCCCCACUGCCCACCCUCCCGGGCCCACUGCCGCCUCUUCUAGCUCUGAUAUGCCCUCCGGUGCUUAGGGGCCGUGGGGUGCAAUGAGCCCUGCUGUGCCCGCUGCCCAGAUAACUUCCCAAUCUGCUGUGACAGAUGGGGAGCACGGGCCAUUCUUAUAAAACGUGUAAUAGUGAGCGUCUUACAUUCAAAUAAGCGAUGCUGUGCUGUCAGCUGGGUUCAUGCUUCACUCGUUAGAAAGACCCAGCCUCAUUUGCAUGCGUACACUUCCGAUCAUUCUCAGAUUUGUUACCGAAAGUUUUUCAUGUGAUUAUUUCCUACUCUGUUGAUUAUCUGUGG